rnacentral:rRNA from 1 species
GACGAACGCUGGCGGCGUGCUUAACACAUGCAAGUCGAACGGAAAGGCCCUGCUUUUGUGGGGUGCUCGAGUGGCGAACGGGUGAGUAACACGUGAGUAACCUGCCCUUGACUUUGGGAUAACUUCAGGAAACUGGGGCUAAUACCGGAUAGGAGCUCCUGCUGCAUGGUGGGGGUUGGAAAGUUUCGGCGGUUGGGGAUGGACUCGCGGCUUAUCAGCUUGUUGGUGGGGUAGUGGCUUACCAAGGCUUUGACGGGUAGCCGGCCUGAGAGGGUGACCGGCCACCUUGGGCCUGAGGUACGGCCCAGACUCCUACGGGAGGCAGCAGUGGGGAAUAUUGCACAAUGGGCGGAAGCCUGAUGCAGCAGCGCCGCGUGCGGGAUGACGGCCUUCGGGUUGUAAACCGCUUUCGCCUGUGACGAAGCGUGAGUGACGGUAAUGGGUAAAGAAGCACCGGCUAACUACGUG